UACGGAGGGGACUAGCGUUGUUCGGAAUUACUGGGCGUAAAGCGCACGUAGGCGGAUUUGUAAGUCAGGGGUGAAAUCCCGGGGCUCAACCUCGGAACUGCCUUUGAUACUGGCGAUCUCGAGUCCGGGAGAGGUGAGUGGAACUGCGAGUGUAGAGGUGAAAUUCGUAGAUAUUCGCAAGAACACCAGUGGCGAAGGCGGCUCACUGGCCCGGUACUGACGCUGAGGUGCGAAAGCGUGGGGAGCAAACAGG
rnacentral:rRNA from 1 species